GAUUUAAUUAUUGACACAUAACUAGUGACUAUUUAGGUUAUUUUGACUGAUUUUGUACGAAGUAUUGGUCAGACCAUUCACUGUGACAACUACUUUGACUACUGGGGGAAAGGGACCAUGGUGACCGUGUCCACAGCCUCAUCAACUGCUCCGACUUUGUUCCCUCUUGCGCAAUGUGGCUCCGGGACCGGAGAUAUGAUGACUCUGGGUUGCAUUGCCACUGGCUUCACGCCUGCCUCCCUCACCUUCAAAUGGAAUGACGAAGGCGGGAAUUCCCUGACUGAUUUCGUUCAGUACCCUGCGGUCCAAACCGGUGGAAGCUACAUGGGAGUCAGUCAACUCCGUGUAAAGAGAGCAGACUGGGACAGUAAAAAAUUUGAAUGCGCCGUGGAACAUUCUGCUGGAUCAAAGAAAGUACCAGUGAAAAAACAACUGCAGCGGGUCAUUCCUCCAAAUAUCACACUGUAUCCUCUCUGGGAGGAACUGAAGGUGGGAUCAAAGGUGGGAAUCCUCUGCAUCCUGAGUGGGUUCUACCCUGACAAGCUGAGUGUGGAGUGGCUGCUGGAUGACAAGACUGUGACCACAUCUCCAGUCCAGCGGAAGCUGCAGAGUGUAGAAGGUGAGGAGAAAACAUUCAGCCUGAACAGCCAGCUGGAGCUGGACCGGAGCCAAUGGACUCAAGGGUCAGAGGUCACAUGCAAGGCAACCCACAAUGCAGCACAAGGACCACCUACAGGAACACCAGUCUCCAGGACCAUCAGCAUUUGCUCAGCGUUUCUCUCGUCUACUCCAUCCAUCAACUUGGAGACCCCCAGAUUCAGGAUAGUGAUGACACAGACUGAGGUAACAGCUACAUGUGUUGUCCACUCUGCGUAUGAUGCCAAAGUGUCCUGGCUUCUGGAUGGAAAAGACCCAACCAGUAGGACCCCAGUGAACCAGGCCAGCAGGACAACUCAGAGCGUCAGCAGUAACCUGACUCUUCCCUCAAGCCAAUGGAAAACCCUGAACACAAUAACAUGCAGAGCUGAACAUCGCUGCUUCAACUCCACAGAGAAGACCAGUAAUGUUAAAGGACCUGCAGUGAACAGCACUACCACAGUGCUGAUCAGGAGGUCUCUCCCAGAGUUACUGAAGGGAGACAGUGCUGUGCUGGAGUGUGCCAUCACACAACUCUCCUCCAGUGACCUCUACGUCACCUUUCAGGCCAAUGGGGUUGAUUUCCCUGAGAAACAGUAUGUGGAUGUGCCUGCAUCCAAAGGCCCCCAUUUGCUCACCAGACGGUUCUCUAUCCCCAAAUCACACUGGAAGACAGACAACACUUUCACCUGUAAAGUUAACCAAGGUUUCUCCAACAGCUUGGUGUCUAGCUCCAAAGUCAAGCUUUUUGGUGAACUGUCCAUGGAACUCCUUCUAGUCCCCAGUGAGGAGUCGUCUGGCUCAGGGACCCAGAAACUCAUGUGUUCUGGGUGGGGCUUCAACCCUAAGAUCAAGUGGCUCUCUGGGUCUGAACAGAGGUCUGCAGCAGACAAUGAGAUAAGGAUGGGGGAAGAUGGACAUGUGGCACUAACCAGUCAUAUCACAGUAACACAGCAGGAGUGGAAUGAGGGAAAGGACUUCAUCUGUGAGGUAGAUGACAAAGAUCUUCAGAAAACUGUCAGGAAGAGCACCAGUUUAUGCACAGCUUUUCCCUCGUUUACUCCAUCCAUCGACUUGGAGACCCCCAGAUUCAGGACAGUGAUGACACAGACUGAGGUAACAGCUACAUGUGUGGUCCACUCUGCAUAUGACGCCAAAGUGUCCUGGCUUCUGGAUGGAAAAGACCCAACCAGCCGAACCCCAGUGAACCAGGCCAGCAGCACAACUCAGAGCAUCAGCAGUAACCUGACUCUUCCCUCAAGUCAAUGGAAAACCCUGAACACAAUAACAUGCAGAGCUGAACAUCGCUGCUUCAACUCCACAGAGAAGACCAGUAAUGUUAAAGGCUCAGUGACCCCCUCCGCACCUAGAGCAACCCUGCUCCAGGGUCCCAGUGAGCUUGUCUGCCUGGUGCUUGGCUUCAGCCCUUCAGACAUCAACAUCACCUGGCUGCUGGACAACGUCACAGAGCUGUGGAACAACAACACUAGCACCCCCUACAGGGCACCAGGAGGAAAGUUCGGCAUCAGGAGCCACCUGAGCCUGGCACACCAGGAUUGGACACCGGGGGCUGUUUACACCUGCAGGGUGACCCACACCACCCAGACUCUGGCCCUGAACAUAUCCAAACCAGAGCUCCUUGAGCUGGAGGGUGUGUUCUUUGACGAGAACAGGUCUGAUCCAAUCCUGGCGGACACUGCAGAGGAGAACUGGAACAUGGCCUGCAUCUUCCUGGUCCUCUUCCUCAUCUCUCUCCUCUACAGCUUCACAGUCACUCUGAUCAAGACAAAAUGAUGACUUCAGGACACUUCCAUAUGAUGGAUCCCUCAGAGUUCAACUGGAAAUGAAUUUAAAUGAAAUGAUUUAUUUCAACCUUUUCUUAUCAAAUCACAACACGUUUCUUAAGAAAAUUGCAUAGAUUUAAUUACUUACGAUUUCAUGUUGCAGGUUUGAUGACAGGGUAGUGUUAUUGUUUUUAUUCCCCACAAAGACAGACAAUGUGGAGGUGCGCUUACUUGCUCUCAUCUCUUGUUAAUGCGUUAUAGAAUUUUUGAGCAGAGAUAAAAAUGGAUGUUUAACCUCUAUUAAAUAAAGCAUGCCAUUACUCUCUAUGAUGAAGUAUUUAGACACCAGUCAUUGCUGAAUUAUCUGCUGAUAAUAAAACAUUAUUUCAAACAA